CGCGGUGUAGCAAUACACUGGCGGCGAGCGGCGGACGGGUGAGGAAUGCGUCGGAAUCUGCCUCUUUGUGGGGGAUAACGUAGGGAAACUUACGCUAAUACCGCAUACGACCUACGGGUGAAAGUGGGGGACCGCAAGGCCUCACGCAGAGAGAUGAGCCGACGCCGGAUUAGCUAGUUGGCGGGGUAAAGGCCCACCAAGGCGACGAUCCGUAGCUGGUCUGAGAGGAUGAUCAGCCACACUGGAACUGAGACACGGUCCGGACUCCUACGGGAGGCAGCAGUGGGGAAUAUUGGACAAUGGGGGAAACCCUGAUCCAGCGACGCCGCGUGGGUGAAGAAGGCCUGCGGG
rnacentral:rRNA from 1 species